rnacentral:rRNA from 1 species
AUACGUAGGUGGCAAGCGUUGUCCGGAAUUAUUGGGCGUAAAGCGCGCGCAGGUGGUUCCUUAAGUCUGAUGUGAAAGCCCCCGGCUCAACCGGGGAGGGUCAUUGGAAACUGGGGAACUUGAGUGCAGAAGAGGAUAGUGGAAUUCCAAGUGUAGCGGUGAAAUGCGUAGAGAUUUGGAGGAACACCAGUGGCGAAGGCGACUGUCUGGUCUGUAACUGACACUGAGGCGCGAAAGCGUGGGGAGCAAACAGGAUUAGAUACCCUGGUAGUCCACGCCGUAAACGAUGAGUGCUAAGUGUUGGGGGGUUUCCGCCCCUCAGUGCUGCAGCUAACGCAUUAAGCACUCCGCCUGGGGAGUACGGUCGCAAGACUGAAACUCAAAGGAAUUGAAGGGG